ACUAGAAAUGGUCAAGGCCUGAGGACAUCCUGAUACUUCCUAGUUUCUAGCAGGUAGUGUUCUGUUCAGUCUGGGUUUUAAUAAUCCAGUCUGGAGACUUCUGCCACUUUCUAUACUUGGUUCCUGUGUAUAGUUCCUGUAUUGUGGAAAGCUUUUAGUUUUCAGGUAGUUUAUGUUUUCCCUCAGCAUUUAAUUCCAUCACCAGUAUUAACACGCUAACAAUAAUUUGCAGUAUUACAACAUAGGUUACUGCAGUUGUUGAAAUUUAAAGAAGUGGGACCUGAAAUGGCCUAUGGUUCUUAUUAUGUAACACUCACUGCAACUUUAAUUCUCAAACUCCAUUUUACACCUCCAUCAGUCAUACUUUUCUAAUGCUUCUAAUGCUUAUUCUUUAUUCUGUUUUCUAAAAGUUCAGAAAUUUGUAGGUGAGCUUGUUCUCUCCUUGGGAGCUGCUCCCAUGAGGUAUCUAGAUUAGUUUUAAUGUCUGCUUUCUCCAGUUACACAGCAUUUCUUCCUGCAUGACAUGCUUAAAAAGCCACAGGAGUUAGUUUGAUUCUACCACAUACAGUCUAAAUUUUAAAUUCCUUUUUUUCUUUUGUUUUUCCAUCCAAGAGGGGAUAAUGUGUAGGCAUGGUUCUAGGAUUUGACAUUUGUGGCCACUCUAGUAAUGUUCUUCAGAUUAUGCCUUAAAAAUGACUCCUCAUUUUAGCUGGUAUGACCGAGAGAAAUAGGUAAAAUACCAGUGUAACUGUCGAAUGGUGUCAUCUCACCAUUCAAUUUUUAUACUGCUCUUUCAUAUAAAACUGAUAUAGAACUGUGCUACCCGAAUAGCUGUCUUUAUAAAAAAAUACAGAUUUUUAAAAUGUGUUGGCAGUGUUUCACUUUGCUGUUUUAGUUACCAACGUGAGCAGUAAAGCUGAUAAUAAUGGAAAAAUUCUCAUUUUGAAACCUGUGAUAUCAGAAUGAAAGACAAGGAUGACGUAUUUUUCCAGGUGGCUGCAAGUAUGUAAAAAAUGUCCUUGUUAAUUCACACAGCCAAGAUGUGUGAAUGUAAACUACCAAGCAUGUAAACCACAGAUAACAAAACAAAAAAGAAAAUCUUUAGCACUUGUAUGUGCUUGACCAUCUCGUUAACAAAACCUAAAUUCCUGCACUUUUAUAAAAUUCCACUGACAAAAGCAGAAGACCAUAUCUGUCCAACGUAAUCAUUUCAAAAAAUUCCAAUAUUUAUUAAAGAGUAUGCUGAAUAUCCAAGCCUAUUGGAUGCAGAUGCAACUAUUAGAGGUUGUUAUAUGUGUUUAUUUGAAAACAAGAGGAUGGUAGCAAAGUAGAGCCUUCCUCUGUGGAAGGACAUGUUCAGUGUCUCCACCAUAAGAGGCAAGAUUUAGAUUUCCUUUGUGCAAGAGAAUCCUGAAGGAUCUACAGGAAUGUAAAGUGCAUAUAUGUAAAAUCAGAGUUCCUCCAUGACUGCUUCUCUCCCAAACAUUCAAUUUGCAAACCUGCCAAACAUCUCAUUGAAAACUUUUUACAGUUCUUUGAUGCUGUACAUAAUAAAUUUGCAAACUCUCCAUGCAGUUAUUAAUGUUUGUAUUUUCAGGCUACUCGGAAUGCAAAAGAUCUAUGUAAAUAUACCCUCUGGUUGCAGCUGUUGUGGAAAAAGAAGAAAUUAUAAGGGAGCAGGUGAAGGAGGUGUCAUUUACAGAAGAAGAAAAAGGAAAAUCACUAAAGGGAAUCAGAAGCACAUAGGCAUGUAUGCGCUUACUUGCAUAUUAAAUAGACAAGAUAAAACUGUUUCUACCCUGCAGAGAUGAGUUAAACAUUGAAAACCAGCGGAGGGCAAACAUGGUCAUUCACUGAUCUCUGAGGUGUAACAGCUACAACUCACAAGGGUUGGGAGGCCGAGGCUGAGGCAAACUGGCUUUGCCUUGUACUUCUCAAGCUCACAAAUUGAAAGGAGAAUGCUGGGAAUGCAGUGUUAAAGUUCUAAAACUGACCCUCGGUCUGCCUUUCGAUAUCAGCAGCUAAAAGGGCAAAACCAGAGAGAUACAAAGAUACAAAGCUUCUGUAAGAUCCAGGUCUGCCUGGAAGGAUGUGAGGGGAGGCUGUCACCCCGAAUCACAGUCAGCACUUCAGGAAGAGACAGUGCUGAAGUUUGCACCAGGAUUUUAUGCCACAGCCAAAUAAAUCGCCACGUCUUGUAUGUGCUACUGUUAAAUGUUAAUAAAUCUUGGCAAAGACCUCACCGAACAA